GACGAACGCUGGCGGCGUGCCUAAUACAUGCAAGUAGAACGCUGACGGAGGAGCUUGCUCUUCUGGAUGAGUUGCGAACGGGUGAGUAACGCGUAGGUAACCUGCCUGGUAGCGGGGGAUAACUAUUGGAAACGAUAGCUAAUACCGCAUAAGAGUAGAUGUUGCAUGACAUUUACUUAAAAGGUGCAAUUGCAUCACUACCAGAUGGACCUGCGUUGUAUUAGCUAGUUGGUGGGGUAACGGCUUACCAAGGCGACGAUACAUAGCCGACCUGAGAGGGUGAUCGGCCAAACUGGGACUGGGACACGGCCCAGAAUCCUACGGGAGGCAGCAGGAGGGAAUCUUCGGCAAUGGACGGAAGUCUGACCGAGCAACGCCGCGUGAGUGAAGAAGGUUUUCGGAUCGUAAAGCUCUGUUGUAAGAGAAGAAAGAGUGUGAGAGUGGAAAGUUCACACUGUGACGGUAUCUUACCAGAAAGGGACGGCUAACUACGUG
rnacentral:rRNA from 1 species